UCCAAAAAAUUGGCCAUGAAAACCCUAGGAGUAGCUGCAGAGCACUGUCUGAUAUAGCCCCAGAAGGUGAGAGGGUGCCGCAGAAAGACUGGGCUGGGUUCUGCCCUGCUGUACACAGGGUUGCUAGGAGUCAGAAUGGACUAGAUGGCACUAACAACAAAGCGUCACCUAUAAAAACAAAGGAAGAGUUUUUAGGCAUGAAUAAAUGCAUGUAUAUAUGAAGAUUAAGUAUAUGCAUCAAUUUUCAUUAUUUUUUUUAAUAAGCAUCAGAGAAUUGACUCAAAUGGAACUAAAUAAUUAGGAAACAUAAUUCACCCUUUAGAGGCAGGACAGCCUCCAAAGUUGGCUAAUUCAAUGGCUCUGUGAAGUCCUAAAGGACUGAAGUUCUUUCCAGCUUCCUGUUUUGUCCUUCUCAGCAUGCUGCCUUUGCCAUCAGCUGGCACCCUUCACGGUUUCAUGAAGGGUGAGGCAGUUCCAGAUGUUCACAUCCAUAGACAUGAUAACACCAGAUAACGACACCAGAGCACUUUUUCUCUUAGGAGUGACAGCGCUUUUCCCAGAAGCCUCCCUACCUAAUUGAUUUCCUCUCACCUCCCACUAGCCAGAAUCGGGUUACCUACGUAUUCUUAAGCCAGUGAGUGGCAAUGAGAAUGGGCUUAUUAAGACUGUCUGAGACCAGUGGUUCCCAAACUUGUGCAUACAACAGAUUCACCUGCAGUAGUUCAUUAAAACACAGGUUGCUGGGCCCCACCCCCAGAAUUUCUGAUUCAACAGGUCUGAGAUGGGCUCAAGAAUUUCUAACAAGUUCCUAGGCAAUGCUGAUGUAGCAAGUUGGGGACCACACUUUGAGAACUACUGUCUUAGACUAACCACUUGGAGCAGAACAGAUGUUGGGGAAUCAACCAAAAAUGUCCUGAGAGAGAACUUUAUCAGAAGAGUAUUGUACACAUUCUGGAAUGAUAUAUUUCUAUAAAUUUUCUUGUGAAAAUUAAAGUCUGUAAGUUGUGCAUGUGACAAACAAUACUGAUUGUGGUAUACCACAAGCCAAAAUAUGGAAGUAGAAUACAAGCUAAUGGCCUAUUACAGAAAAUGUGGUUUGAGUAAAUGUCACCCAUUGUCACAAACAUCCACCCAUCCUGCCCUGCACACUGUGCUACCUCACCCCCCUCCCCUGCAUACUUCUAGUCUCUUUCUCAGGGCUGAGGCAAUAUCAGACGCCUACCUGCUGAAGUGGUAUCGGCCUCAAGCUGUCUCUUGGCAGAGGAGACAAUAUGAGCAAAGGAAUGAGGGCCACAACUGCCUUGAAAACUCCAACUGCAGAUGGACUCCGUCACCCACUUUCUCAUGUCUGUGCCUGCAACAACCUGCAUGCUGUUGGAGAAAAAUCACCCUCUGGGGCAGAGUGCUGUUACCCUGCAACUGCAUGAGUACAAUACAAGCAUCCCAGAUGGUGCCCGCCUGUGAAUCAGAACAAGAUGUCCCUUCCUCAAGGCACUUGACUUCUCUGUCAGAAAGCUGUGCUUGCUAUCUCCUAUUAAGCCGUGUGCCCUCAAGGCUGCCCAACACCAUGUGUACUCAAUGGGUGGCACCUGACACAUGUUUGGAGCAUGAGUUAGACCACAUCGUGGAUGGAAACUUCCAAAGCACCAGAAGCAGAGCUCAAAGUAACCCCAGGACUAUUUUGGAACAAUGAAGAAGAUGCAGAAAGCAGGCCAAACACCAUGGAUCACAGAGGUGCUGACUUGUGAGGAGCUGUGGGGUUAAAGCUUCCUGCAGAAGCGUAGCACUCACGCAGCUCAUCGCUUCCAACUGAGGUUUAAUCGUGAAGAGACAGGCAAGAAAAAUGCCAGAAGCAGCUACAAUGUUGGUUCCGAGCACGCGUGUGUGUGUGCUCUCACAUUUGUGUGCACACACACACACAUACUUCUCUCUAAAACCUGGCAGUACCUCUAGAUUUCCCACAUAAGGGUGUCACCAUAACACUUGUUUUUCCCUGUUACUUUCCCUAAAAAUAAGCAGAGCCUUAGUAUCCACCAGUAAUUUCAAGCUUAUUUCCUGUUAUUUCCAACCAGAAAGCUUGGCUGGUAUGACCAGUCUCGCCAGUAGCUCUCUACCAGGUCACACUCAGGCUGAAGGGGCACUAGAUGUGGAGUCAGCAGGAAAGUGGGUCUCUGCCCAGUUCUCUCAGGCUCUCCAGUGCGACCAUGUGUAAAUCAAACUCUGGGAGGCCCUCCCUUCCUCCUUACAAUGUCUCUCACACAGCACGCAAGCUAUCACUUAAAAAAAGGAACAAUGAGGGGCCGGUCCCAUGGCUGAGUGAUUAAAAUUCCACGCACUCCGCUUCGGUGGCCCAGGUUUGUGGGUUCG